rnacentral:tmRNA from 1 species
GGGGAUGAUCGGUUUCGACACUGCAAAGCUUGCGGGAAAGAAGCGGGUCGAGGAUGCACAGUUAUCUCGUAAACGCUCUGUGUAACUUAUAGGUGCCAAUACAAAGCGCGCCGAUUUCGCCCUAGCUGCUUAAGCUAGCCCCGAAAUCCGUCUGCCUGGGUUUGAUUUCGUCCCAGUAACAGGCGUCAUCUAGAAAUCUUGCUUCUCUGGUUGGUUGGUGGCCAGAGCGGGACACUUUCACUAACUGGGCUGGUCGGCGUAGUUGCUCUCGACAAAUUCCGCAGCCGAGUAGAACGCCCUAGAGAGCUACACCCGUAGAAGAGUCUCGUUCUCUGCUGUGGACCCGGGUUCAAUUCCCGGCAUCUCCAC